AAAGUCGUAACAAGGUUUCCGUAGGUGAACCUGCGGAAGGAUCAUUAACACAAAACUUUUUUACAAUUUUGUAAAAAAAUGUUUUACAACUAAACCUGUGCUCUUUCUUUUUUUCACACCUUCAACCCUUUAAUUUUAAUAAUUUUUUUUUUGUCCAAAGAACACAGUUUUUUGGUUACAACUUAAAUAAAGUUGAACAUACAACUGUUAACAAUGGAUAUCUAGGCUCUC
rnacentral:misc_RNA from 1 species